rnacentral:rRNA from 1 species
GGAAGGAUCAUUCGCACUGACCAACCAACGCUACGUGAACAACUAACCGUGAGUGACUGUCAACGAACUGCUUCGCGGCAGUUUGAAGGCAGGAGCUCGUGGGCGACGCGGGCCGAUUGACAACGCUGCAAUCGCAGCCGAGUGGAUCGCGCCUGGUUGCUAUGGCCCCUUGAGGGCACCGCUGAAGAGCACCUUACUUAGCGAUCAGCAAAAGCUCUUGGGCGCAAGCCUCAACACAACUUUCAGCGACGGAUAUCUUGGCUCGGGCACCAAUGAAGGGCGCAGCGAAACGCGAUAGUCGUUGUGAAUUGCAGAACUCCGUGAACCAAUAGCACCCUGAACUCGCAUUGCACUCUUGGGACACGCCUGAGAGUAUGUCUGCUUCAGUGCUUUUUCAUAUCUUCGCAGCGCGGGCUUCCUGGAGAAGCCUUGAGCCUCUUUGCGCGCUGCUGCAUCAGAAUUUGCAGCGGCGCGCUGAACACAAACCGGGAGGUAAGCUGGACUGAUUUGUCGCGCAUCACUGGGCACGUGUGUCCGUUUUGGCCCAAUCAUGCCAGCCUGCCAAGCAAUUGGUGCUCAAAUACCAAUCUUAGCAUGAAGUCAGACAAGCAAA